rnacentral:rRNA from 1 species
AUUGAACGCUGGUGGCAGGCCUAACACAUGCAAGUCGAGCGGAGCGGCGGACGGGUGAGUAAUGCCUAGGAAUCUGCCUGGUAGUGGGGGAUAACGUCCGGAAACGGGCGCUAAUACCGCAUACUAUCAGAUGAGCCUAGGUCGGAUUAGCUAGUUGGGGGGGUAAAGGCCUACCAAGGCGACUAUCCGUAACUGGUCUGAGAGGAGGAUCAGUCACCCUGGAACUGAGACACGGUCCAGACUCCUGCCACAAUCACCAUUUUACAAUCUUUAACAAUGAUGGAAAGCCUGAUCGAGCCAUGAAGCGUGUGUGAAGAACUUCUUCGGAUUCUAAUGCACUUUAAGUUGGGAGGCGUUACCAACAGAAUAAGCACCGGCUAACUUCGUGCCAGCAGCCGCGGUAAUAC